rnacentral:snoRNA from 1 species
AGCCUUUGUGCUGCCCAUUCACCUUUGGUCACUAGGAAAAAUGGUGUCAAAAGAGGCAUAAGGUAAUGCUUUGCAGCCUUUUCUUACCCUGGAGUUUGGUAUCUUGGUUGCAAGAGCUGCAUAAGUAGCAGAA